UGGGAGGUUGUGAUUUGUGUCCAGUGUUCCCACCAGGUCUCCAUGCCACAAAUGUGAAUCUACCGCCUCUGCUCUCCCCUGAGACUCUAAAGCACCAUCUUCACAUGCAGGACCUUGGACUUCAGAGGGAGCCUCAGUGUGUAGGUAUGUUUUCAGAGGGGGCGCUGCUCAAGCUUCAAGGAAAACCAAACACCUCCUCUGGUAGGAACAUACCCACCCCUCCAGGUUUGUGAUGGUAGAGAUGGGAAACUAUUAAACAAGCAGAGGCUUCUGGGUACUCAGCAGAAUCCUGUGUUACUACGUCAUGUGUGAUUAUCUCCUGUCAUUUUAGUCUGUAACACACAAAAAGUAGAUAGAUGGGUGUGAUAAGAGACUAUAAUGUGAUUUCUCAUUAAGUGAUAAACUGUCUUACAAGAUAGGUGCACCUAUGCACACCAAACACAUAGAAACCACAUCAAGCUGGCAGUGCUAUCAUCUGAUAUUUUCAGUCGUUCUUGUGCACAAGUCUCCAAAUAUCACUGAAUAGGACUGAUCAGAACAAGACAAUCUUGUAACAUGUAACAUUAUAACAUGAAUUUCCCAGUUUGGGAUCAAUAAAGUGUAUCUAUGUAUCUAUGUAUCUAUCUAUCUAUCUAUCUAUCUAUCUAUCUAUCUAUCUAUCUAUCUAUAGAAGCAGCUCUCUCAAAGAGAAUUAGACACUUUUAAAAACAGAGAUUUCACGAUCUUUUGUAAAUCCAAACACUACUGUAGAGCUUGUCAAUCAAUCAAUCAAAUUUUAUUUAUAUAGCGCCAAUUCACAACAGUCGUCAUCUCAAGACGCUUUCCAAAGAACAAGAGCAGGUCGAGACCACGCUCAUUGUUUGAUGAUCAAGAACCAACCUAAGAUGGGUUUUGGCCCAUCUCAACUAACAUGAGUAGCAGUGGCAAGGAAAAACUUCCUUUUAACAGGCAGAAACCUUGGGCAGGACCAGACUCAUGCUAGACAGCCACCAUGCCGCUGCUGGGUUGGGGAGGAAUGUAGUGAGAAGAGGGGAGAGGGGGAGAGGACAGGGGGAGGGAGAGAGACAGCAAGAUAGGGGAAAGGCUAGAGAGAAUUAGUACGGAGAGGGAGGGGGAGGGAGAGAGAGUAGGGAACGAGGGUGAGAGAGAGACAGGAGGCAGCAGGAACAACAGCAACAACGACAACAGCUCAUGUAAUGGUGAAACAAAAAGACGUUCAGUUUACAGGUUUAGGAUAUGAGAAAUAAUGGACAAUGUUGAAUUAAUUGAGUGUGAUUACAGUUAGCAGGCUUAAUUGUAGUCAGUUCUAUUUUGUAUGUCAAUAAUGACAGUGAGGCUGAUGUUCAUGUCUGCAGUAACAGUAACAGUCCAGAGGAAUCAGAGAGAAGAAGGAGCUCAGGGCCGGGGGGGGGGGGGGGUCACUGCAGCAACGGUCCAGAGAAGCCAAAGAGCCAAAGAGAUGGAGGAGCUCAGGGCCCAGGAUGGAUGCAGCUGGGGUCAGGCAGUUCCGCAGCAGACCGUUUGCAGCAUUAGUCCAGUGGCAGCUAAAAGACUCAGAGACACUCAGAGAGACAGAAAGCUGGUCAGUGACUUAUAUGGGACAUAAAGAUCUAAAGAGGAGAUAGAGACAGAUUCUAGCUCAGUGUGCCAGAUAGCCCCGGCAGUCUAGGCCUAUAGCAGCAUAACUAAGAGCUGGUUCAAAUCAGCCCUAAAGAGGAACGUUUUAAGUCUACUCUUGAAAGUUGAGAGUGUGUCUGCCCCCCGAACCUCGAGCGGUAAAUGAUUCCAGAGGAGAGGUGCCUGGUAGCUGAAAGCUCUUCCUCCAACACUACUUUUAGAGACAUUUGGUACAACGAGCAGACCUGCAGACUGUGAGCGUAACGGUCUAGAUGGAAAGUACGGUAUAACUAGCUCGUCGAGAUAUGAUGGCGCCUGGCCAUUAAGCGCUUUAUAUGUCACAAGGAGGAUUUUAAACUCAAUUCUAUAUUUAAUAGGGAGCCAGUGAAGAGAGGCUAAAACAGGGGAGAUGUGCUCCCUUCUACUAGUUCUAGUCAAUACCCGAGCUGCUGCAUUUUGGACCAGCUGAAGAGUCCUUAAUGACUUACUAGAGCAGCCUGAUAGGAGAGAAUUACAGUAAUCCAGCCUAGAGGUAACAAAGGCAUGGACUAGUUUUUCUGCAUCGCUCUGAGACAAUAUGCGUCUAAUUUUUGAGAUAUUGCGCAGGUGGAAAAAGGCUGUCCUAGAAAUUUGUUGAAUGUGGGAGCUAAAAGAUAAAUCCUGAUCAAAUACAACUCCUAGAUUACGCACAGUGGGGUUGGAUGCCAGGCUGAUACCAUCAAAUGUAGCUAAAUUACUAGAGAACGCCUCUCUAAGGUGUUUAGGACCGAGGACCAGAACUUCAGUUUUGUCUGAAUUGAGCAUUAGAAAGUUAUUGGUCAUCCAGGAUUUUAUAUCUUUGAGGCAGGCUUCUAACCUAGCAACCUGGCCUGCUUCCUCUGGCUUUAUGGAUAGGUAUAGCUGGGUGUCAUCUGCAUAACAGUGGAAAUUAAUCGAAUACUUCCUCAUAAUUUUACCCAGCGGAAUCAUAUACAGGGUGAAGAGGAUUGGACCGAGCACUGACCCUUGCGGCACACCGUAGCACACUUUGGUGUGUGCAGAGGAUUUAUUAUUUACAUUGACAAACUGGGAUCGAUCUGUUAGGUACGAUUUAAACCAGGAGAGAGCUGAUCCUGCUAUGCCUAUAGAUUGUUCUAGUCUCUGAAGCAGGAUGGAGUGGUCAAUUGUGUCAAAUGCUGCACUAAGAUCUAACAGGACUAGAACAGAGAGAAAACCAUUGUCUGAGGCCAUGAGUAGGUCAUUUGACACCUUUAGCAGAGCAGUCUCUGUGCUGUGAUGGGUUCUAAACCCAGACUGGAAAUCCUCUAAUAAACCAUUGUUAUGGAGAAAAUCACAGAGUUGAUUCGCAACAACUUUCUCUAGGAUUUUAGAAAUAAAAGGAAGGUUGGAUAUUGGUCUAUAGUUAGCUAGGGAGCUUGAGUCUAGAGUAGGUUUUUUAAGGAGAGGCUUAAUCAAUGCAGUCUUGAAAGACUGGGGAACAUAUCCUGUUAAUAAAGACGUGUUAAUCAUUUUGAGCAGGGACGUACUAAUCAAAGGAAGAGUUUCCUUUAGCAAUUUAGAUGGAAUUGGGUCUAAGAGACACGUCGAUGGUUUGGCUGCUAGCACCACUGAUUUUAACUCAGGAAGGUCAAUAGGUACAAAAUUACUAAGGUGCACCAGAGGCCUUAGGGGCUCCUCAACAUUUUUAGGGUUAUCUGAGAGAGAGACACUUGGUGGAGUCAAUAGGUUACUAAUUUUACCUCUUAUUUUUAAGAUUUUAUCAUUGAAGAAGCUCAGGAAGUCAUUGCUGCUAAGGGCUAAUGGGAUACAUGGUUCAGUGGUGCUCGGACAGUCUGUCAGCCUGGCUACAGUGCUGAAGAGAUAUCUGGGGUUAUUCUUAUUUUCCUCAAUAAGAGACGAGUAGUAGGUUGUCCGAGCACGUCGUAGGGCUUUCUUAUAUUUAUCGAGACAUUCCUGCCAGAGAAAACGAGCUUCAGCUGUUUUGGAGGAGCGCCAAAUCCUUUCACAUUUUCUUAAUAACUGUUUCAGCUCACGGGUUUCAGCAUUAUACCACGGGGCUAGCCUCUCGCGUGUAAUAGUUUUCUGUCGAAGAGGGGCAACUGAGUCUAGAACUGAUCGCAGUGUGCCUGAGGUAUCAUCAACAAACUGGUCGAGUUGCAAGGGACUGAUGUUUAAAUAUGAGCUAUCAGUAAAGUUUUUCUCAACUACAGAAUUUAGAGCAGACGGAAUUACCUCCUUGAACUUAGUAACAGCAUUUUCAGACAACCUUCUAGUUAGCACGACUUUGUUGUGAGGAGAGUAACCUGAGAGCACAAAUUCAAAAGUUACUAGACAGUGAUCAGAUAAUAGAGGAUUUAAUGAGCUGACUAACAGGGCAUCAGUUUCGAGGCCAUAAGCCAGGACGAGAUCGAGAGUGUGGUUAAAGCAGUGCGUAGGUCUAUGUACACACUGUGUAAACCCAAUUGAAUCUAGCAAGGACCGAAAAGAAAUGCUUAGGCUAUCAUUUUCCACAUCUAUGUGAAUAUUAAAGUCACCGACGACGAUGACUUUAUCUGCGAGACGGACUAAUUCGGAUAGGAACUCUGAGAACUCUGACAAAAACUCAGAGUAUGGGCUCGGAGGGCGGUAAACUAUAGCAAAUACCAGUGGUCUCAUGGACUUUGAGGCUGGGUGCGGGAGACUGAGAACGAGACUUUCAAAAGAGUUAUAAUCUAGUUUUGGUCUUGGGUUAAUUCUAAGACUGGAAUUGUAGAUAGCUGCAACUCCACCACCUCGGCCGGAGUCUCGAGGAAUGUGAAAGUUUAGGUGGCUAGGAGGAGUGGAUUCAUUUAAACUUACAUAUUCAUCCUUACGCAGCCAUGUUUCGGUUAGGGAGAGUAAAUCAAUGCGAUGAUCAGAGAUUAGUUCAUUUAUUAACACAGAUUUUGAAUUUAGAGACCUUAUAUUCAGUAGGCCACAUUUUAUCUUACUAGUACUUGGUUCAGCUAUGUUAACAGUCUUAAUUCUAGUAAGGUUCUUGUUAUUUACUCCUUUUUUAAUUGAUCGGUUAGAAUUUGAGAGCCGAGUACGAGGGACAGACACAGUCUCUAUAUUAAAGUGACAGUAGCUAGGAGGCUGCUCUAACAAAAGUACAGAGGAACGUGUAGAGCUGUGGCUAUGCUCCCUGAUUUCUAUGUCAAGCUGAGAGUAGCUUGGAAGCUGCUCUGAAGGGAGUACAGAGGGACGUUUUACACUGUGGCUCUGCUCCCUGAUUUCUAUGUCAAGCUGAGAGAAGCUUGGAAGCUGCUCUGAAGGGAGUACAGAGGGACGUUUUACACUGUGGCUCUGCUCCCUGAUUUCUAUGUCAAGCUGAGAGUAGCUUAGAAGCUGCUCUGAAGGGAGUACAGAGGGGCGUUUUACACUGCGGCUCUGCUCCCUGAUUUCUAAGUCAAGCUGAUUGUAGCUUGGAAGCUGCUCUGAAGGGAGUACAGAAGGGCGUUUUACACUGCGGCUGUGCUCCCUUGUCUCUGUGUAUAAGUGGUAGUGGCUGGGAGGCUGCUCUAAAAGAGGCGCAGGGGGGCGUGUAAGACUGCGGCCCUGCUCCCUGAUCUCUGCUUUGAAUUGUCAGUGGUUCGGAUUAAUAAAAUCGGCCAGAUUUCUGGAUAAACGGGCCGCUCCAUCUCGGGUGGGAUGAAUGCCGUCCCGACUAAUCAGACCAGGCUUGCCCCAAAAUGACUUCCAAUUAUCAAUGAAGCUCACGCCGUUUUGCGGACACCACCUCGACAGCCAGCGGUUGAAUGAUGAGAUACGGCUACACAUCUCAUCAGUUGUCUGAUCGGGCAGGGGACCAGAGAAAACUACGGAGUCCGACAUGGUCUUGGCAUAUUCACACACCGAUUCCACGUUCAAUUUAGUGACUUCCGACUGGCGGCGUCGGGAGUCAUUUAUGCCGACAUGUAUUACAAUCUUACGGAAUUUACGUUUAGCCUUUGCCAGCAGUUUUAAACUACCUUCGAUGUCGCCCGCUCUGGCCCCCGGGAGACACUGAACUAUGGCCGCUGACUUCGCUAAUUUCACAUUUCGGACUACAGAGUCUCCAAUCACAAGAGCGUCAGGCUCAGCAGGUGUGUUGCUGAGAGGGGCAAAUUUGUUUGAAGUGUGAAUGUGGUGGUCUACCGUGGGCUUCUUAGGUCUACUGCUAUGCUUCCCUUUCACAGUGACCCAACCACUACUACAUCCCGGCUGCUCGGGAUUCGCCGGGGGGGAGGCUAAGCUAGGCCGACCCGCACCGGCUACCGAGUCCUGGCUGGCUAUCGCUACACUAGCAUCGGUGCGGAGCCGCUUUUCUAACUCUGUAAUCCUCAUCUCCAGAGCUAAGAAUAAACUACACUUAAAGCAGGUAUCGUUAUCGUCUAAGGAGGACGAGGAGUAACUGAACAUCUGACACACUGAGCAGAAGCGAGCAGGAGAAGCAGGCGACCGGGGGGAAGCCAUCGUUAGCAAGUGUAGCUAAGAGAAGCUAAGCUAGGAGCUAAUAAAGUAAAUGGUCAGAGAGAUCGCCCGGAGUGGAGAUAAAAACAGUGCUUGGUGAAAACUAUCAGAAAUACUUACAGACUUUCUAAACAGACAGAUGUACUGAUAAAUUACAGAUAGAAAAUAAACCAAAACAGCAGGAGAGCGCUUUCAGGAGGAAACGAAACGCUACACACAGUUCAACAGCAAGGAAGGGAAUGAAGCAAUGCGCACGCUCACCAGUCAGGAGGAGGAGUCACCAGUCACAGAUGAGACCCACCGUUCAAAGCUCUGUGUGUCUUUGUGGGUUACUAAUCAAUCUGAGGUCCACACUCUCUGACUGUUGAUUGUCCUUGAAGCGCUCUGACAGGGCGCCCCCUUUGGGC